rnacentral:rRNA from 1 species
AAAAGUUGGGCACUUUUGAAGUGUAAAAUCUUCAUCUGGCUGGCUGUGCAGCACCGUAUUUGGACCUCUGACCGAAGGGCAAAGCAUGGAUUACAAGACCGACCGUCUUCAUGCUACACAUGCUUGCAAGAUGAAGACAAUGCCGAACACAUCUUGGUACAAUGUGGCUAUGCUCGACAGGUGUGGCACACCUGCUUUCAAGACCUAGCCCUAAAUACGCGGGCUCCGGUGGUGGAUGAUACCUUCCUUGAUUGGUGGAUCGAGACUAGGACGGGGAUGCCUAAGGGUAUUAAGAGAGGCUACGACACGUUCGUCAUCGUGGUCGGAUGGGAGUUGUGGAAGCAACGAAACGCGCGUGUGUUCAAUAGGCUACAACAACAGCGAACCCCAAGAGAAUUGGUUGACGAGAUAUUCAGAGCAGUAAAGAAAUGGAGACAAGCCGGUGUAGGAGUUGGAGGUUUAACACAUUUUGUGAGAGAGUAG